GUGAGACCAAGGAAACCAACGCGCCUUAUAGUCAGAAAAUCCCAUACAAAAGAGUCCUUGUUAAAAUGAAGUUACUAGACACAAAUCAGUGAUUUGAGCACCUGUUACAAAAAAAAUCCAACAUUCCUGAAAAGCUCAUGAAACUUCAGAUGCAAUCCUUCAAUCAAAACUCAAACAGCUGGCUAGACAAGCACUGGAUAGAACAUAGAUGCCACACAUUUCCUACCUGAAUGAAUGUAUCAUCCAGGAGCCUGAUCCUGUGAGCUGCAGAGAUCCUUGUAAGAUUUACAGAGUUCUCUCAAGUAAAAUUGACUUGAGUGGGAAUUAAGGGUGCUUCUCCUCUUGCAGGAUUGGUCUUUACUUAGGCCCACUCCUUCUUGCCUUGACUUUGAUGGGAGUAGGAUCAGACAAACAAAUUGUAGGUGCUUGGUGUUCAACAAUUAAUAGAUAAUAUCCUGAUUUCAAAUUACAAGUAUUGAAAACUCCAUCAUAUGCAUCUUAGGUUAUGUCUACUACAGUGACAACCCACAGUUUGGACUGCAAGGGUGUGACUACAAUACUGCACUGUAAUUCUCCUCUGUGGGUGCUGCACAUGCAAACUAAAAAGUUCUUAAUUUGUGUUAAUGUAGUCCUGAUAAUGUGAACCGGGAACUUUUUAGUUCACACCCGCAGCAUCCUCACAGAGGAAUUACAUUGCAGCAUGUUGUUGCAUACUGGUAUUCAUAUCCCCAUAGUCCAAACUGUGGGACAGUGCAGUGUAGGAAAAUCCUUCCAAAGGACACUGUCUGGACAGAUGCGCUCUGCUUACAUUUUCAAACAGAUAUAGGAAUGUAAGAGUUCA